rnacentral:rRNA from 1 species
UCUUAGGACCUAAAUACCCUGAAGGCACCAGAUUCCAUCUGAUCUUGGAAGCCAAGCAAGGUCAAAACUGGUCGGUCCUUGGAUGGGAUAUUGGCAAUGAAUGCCAGAUGCCGUAGUCU